rnacentral:rRNA from 1 species
AUGAACGCUGGCGGCGUGCCUAAUACAUGCACGUCGAGCGAACAGACGAGGAGCUUGCUCCUCUGACGUUAGCGGCGGACGGGUGAGUAACACGUGGAUAACCUACCUAUAAGACUGGGAUAACUUCGGGAAACCGGAGCUAAUACCGGAUAAUAUAUUGAACCGCAUGGUUCAAUAGUGAAAGACGGUUUUGCUGUCACUUAUAGAUGGAUCCGCGCCGCAUUAGCUAGUUGGUAAGGUAACGGCUUACCAAGGCAACGAUGCGUAGCCGCCCUGAGAGGGUGAUCGGCCACACUGGAACUGAGACACGGUCCAGACUCCUACGGGAGGCAGCAGUAGGGAAUCUUCCGCAAUGGGCGAAAGCUUGACGGAGCAACGCCGCGUGAGUGAUGAAGGUCUUCGGAUCGUAAAACUCUGUUAUUAGGGAAGAACAAAUGUGUAAGUAACUAUGCACGUCUUGACGGUACCUAAUCAGAAAGCCACGGCUAACUACGUG